rnacentral:rRNA from 1 species
GGUUUUAGACUNNCCGCUGUGGGGGUNAGCAGUACUGNCGCUGAGGGNGUAANNAAAGNNGCAGCUNGGNUUUAUAGACAAUUUAUGGGAUGAUAGAUUAUUUGUAAGCAAUGAAAAAUAAUCUCGCAAUCCCAGGGCGUCUCAUUCUCAUUGCGAGAAGAGGCGCACCUAGAGCGUACACNGUUGGGACCCGAAAGAUGGUGAACUAUGCCUGGCGAGGGCAAAGUCAGGGGAAACCCUGAUGGAGGUCCGUAGCGAUUCUGACGUGCAAAUCGAUCGUCGGAGCUGGGUAUAGGGGCGAAAGACUAAUCGAACCAUCUA